UACGGAGGGUGCAAGCGUUGCUCGGAAUUAUUGGGCGUAAAGGGUAGGUAGGUGGUCUCAUUUGUCUGGGGUGAAAUCCUUGAGCUUAACUCAAGAAGUGCCCCAGAAACGGUGAGACUAGAGUCCUGGAGAGGGUCGUGGAAUUCCCGGUGUAGCGAUGAAAUGCGUAGAGAUCGGGAGGAACACCAGAGGCGAAGGCGGCGACCUGGACAGGAACUGACACUCAACUACGAAAGCGUGGGGAGCAAACAGG
rnacentral:rRNA from 1 species